UAGCUUCCUGUCUCGAUCGCGUCCUGUCAGCCUGAUUGUAGCCAUACUAGCUUCGAAGUCCCUCGUUUUAUUAUUAUCUCAGUAUAUUAAUAUUAUCAUAUUUCUAGUGGUUUUUUUAUUUUUAUAAUUCUUGUUGAAAAUUAUGUUUAUCCGUUCAGUUAGUGAUUUUUGUAAUUCGAUUAUUGUGUGCUGUGUCUUUUUUAGUUUCUUCACUAGCUACCUAUUAACGUUCUAACUAGUAAGGUGGCUAGCAAUUAGCCAACGCCUCCCUCCCUUACCAAUCAUGGCACUGUUUUACUCAAGACGCUUGUAAGAGCUGCCAUUGACGGAUGUACAUCGUCUGGCCAAGACAAGUAGCAAAGCACCGAACUCCAAGUUAAAAACAAGGAUUCAAACUUUGUGUCCAGUUACCUUUUCAACUAUAAAGGGUCUGCAACCUGGGCCCAUAGGCAAAAUGACCAUCACCAAGCCCACCAAAAAGCGCAUGGCAGAAGGAGGGAUUACCUAUGUGACAGCCUCAGAAAUGAUACUCCUGUGUAAGGGUCUGCAGCGAAUCACAUCCAGCCGCCAGAGAGAAGCAAAUCUAACCACAGGACAUGUGACAGAGUUGAUGGACACCCUAUGUUCAUCAAUGGACAAAAAGUUCCAUAGAAUGGAAUAUAAUCACGUGCUAUCAGAAACCACUGCACUUGCCCCCAGGUUUAAGAAGUUAGCCUUCAGUGAUGCCAGAGCGAUUGAUGAGGCUCUUCAAAGAAUAACCUCAGCAGCAGGGAGGGACAGCCCCACCAGUCAGCUGGCCCAGGCACCAGGGCAACAGGAAGAAGAGGGAUCAGAUGGAGCAGAAGCACCAGCAGUAGUGCCACAAACUUCUGCUGUUUGGAUGCUGUUUGACGAGAGAGCAACUGGGGAUGCAGCAUGAAGGAAUCCCUCAGCAGAUGCCAUAAUGGAGGUCCGAUGCUAUUUGGAGGAGGCCCUCCUCCAAAGAUGGAAGAACAAGGCCUCGGUCUACCCACAGCUUACUAAAGUCAUGACAGGGAGACUGCAUAGUGGCCACAUCCGUUCCCUCUGAGAUGGUCUUCUCAAAAACUGGACAAAUAAUUACUGAGAGAAGAAACUGCAUCAGCCCCUCAAAAGUGAGGCAGCUUGCAUUUCUGAUUGCAAAUCUCUCAAAAGCAAAAUAUGGUCAGCAUUGCUGUGUGCUGCUGGUUAUAACAAGAACCGUUUGGGCGCCAAAAGACCCGGCUCUUUUUGGUGACCUGAGCAGAACGAGCCGGCUCACUGAAAAGAGCCGGAAUGCCCAUCACUACUGACAAGAUGCGAUCGGGACAGGAAGCUAUGUAUCGGGUAGGAAGGUGACCCAAGGGUUGGGAGUGCAAGGCAGAGAGCAGCCAAUGGUGCCAGAACGAGCCGGCUCACUGAAAAGAGCCGGAAUGCCCAUCACUACUGACAAGAUGCGAUCGGGACAGGAAGCUAUGUAUCGGGUAGGAAGGUGACCCAAGGGUUGGGAGUGCAAGGCAGAGAGCAGCCAAUGGUGCCAGAACGAGCCGGCUCACUGAAAAGAGCCGGAAUGCCCAUCACUACUGACAAGAUGCGAUCGGGACAGGAAGCUAUGUAUCGGGUAGGAAGGUGACCCAAGGGUUGGGAGUGCAAGGCAGAGAGCAGCCAAUGGUGCCAGAACGAGCCGGCUCACUGAAAAGAGCCGGAAUGCCCAUCACUACUGACAAGAUGCGAUCGGGACAGGAAGCUAUGUAUCGGGUAGGAAGGUGACCCAAGGGUUGGGAGUGCAAGGCAGAGAGCAGCCAAUGGUGCCAGAACGAGCCGGCUCACUGAAAAGAGCCGGAAUGCCCAUCACUACUGACAAGAUGCGAUCGGGACAGGAAGCUAUGUAUCGGGUAGGAAGGUGACCCAAGGGUUGGGAGUGCAAGGCAGAGAGCAGCCAAUGGUGCCAGAACGAGCCGGCUCACUGAAAAGAGCCGGAAUGCCCAUCACUACUGACAAGAUGCGAUCGGGACAGGAAGCUAUGUAUCGGGUAGGAAGGUGACCCAAGGGUUGGGAGUGCAAGGCAGAGAGCAGCCAAUGGUGCCAGAACGAGCCGGCUCACUGAAAAGAGCCGGAAUGCCCAUCACUACUGACAAGAUGCGAUCGGGACAGGAAGCUAUGUAUCGGGUAGGAAGGUGACCCAAGGGUUGGGAGUGCAAGGCAGAGAGCAGCCAAUGGUGCCAGAACGAGCCGGCUCACUGAAAAGAGCCGGAAUGCCCAUCACUACUGACAAGAUGCGAUCGGGACAGGAAGCUAUGUAUCGGGUAGGAAGGUGACCCAAGGGUUGGGAGUGCAAGGCAGAGAGCAGCCAAUGGUGCCAGAACGAGCCGGCUCACUGAAAAGAGCCGGAAUGCCCAUCACUACUGACAAGAUGCGAUCGGGACAGGAAGCUAUGUAUCGGGUAGGAAGGUGACCCAAGGGUUGGGAGUGCAAGGCAGAGAGCAGCCAAUGGUGCCAGAACGAGCCGGCUCACUGAAAAGAGCCGGAAUGCCCAUCACUACUGACAAGAUGCGAUCGGGACAGGAAGCUAUGUAUCGGGUAGGAAGGUGACCCAAGGGUUGGGAGUGCAAGGCAGAGAGCAGCCAAUGGUGCCAGAACGAGCCGGCUCACUGAAAAGAGCCGGAAUGCCCAUCACUACUGACAAGAUGCGAUCGGGACAGGAAGCUAUGUAUCGGGUAGGAAGGUGACCCAAGGGUUGGGAGUGCAAGGCAGAGAGCAGCCAAUGGUGCCAGAACGAGCCGGCUCACUGAAAAGAGCCGGAAUGCCCAUCACUACUGACAAGAUGCGAUCGGGACAGGAAGCUAUGUAUCGGGUAGGAAGGUGACCCAAGGGUUGGGAGUGCAAGGCAGAGAGCAGCCAAUGGUGCCAGAACGAGCCGGCUCACUGAAAAGAGCCGGAAUGCCCAUCACUACUGACAAGAUGCGAUCGGGACAGGAAGCUAUGUAUCGGGUAGGAAGGUGACCCAAGGGUUGGGAGUGCAAGGCAGAGAGCAGCCAAUGGUGCCAGAACGAGCCGGCUCACUGAAAAGAGCCGGAAUGCCCAUCACUACUGACAAGAUGCGAUCGGGACAGGAAGCUAUGUAUCGGGUAGGAAGAUGCUGUUGUGCUGAACUACCUUUCUGAGAUGUUUGGACUGCUGGACUCAGUGAGGAGGGUUCUGGACCUGAGACCCGGUGAGACUGAUGACAACCAGCAGCAGGUUCACAAUGCUCUUAAUGGAUGUUGUGCAUCCCUGGAAAUAAUCCGAAUAAUUUAAAUAUGACAGUUUUGCUGGUAAGGUAAGUUAAGCUGCCUAUUUCUGUACUGAAUUAAAUAUAACCACUACUGUUUUAAAACACUGUCUAUCUUUAUUUCCCAAACACAAAUCAGCACAAUCACACAAUCGAUUUUUUUUGUGUUUUAAUAAUAUAAAGCAUAUUUAACACUGGCUUAAAACCUGACUAGCACUUUGUACUUUUUUUUAAAACACUUAACUUAGACCAGGCUCUGUUUUCACCUCAUAUCCCAGCGAUAAUGCAAAGAAAACACUUACGUUUGCUCAACUUUCACCCCAAGGCAAACAUUUAGACUAUGUUAGCCCACACAGCUACAAGGAUGCACUUUCAUGCUAGGUUUAGGACCUCACAUUGAAGCUUAUAGAGCAAAUCAUUUUAGUGUCCCCCCUCUUGACAGGGUAGAUAUCAUUUCCUGCAAAUCUACACAUUUUUCCAUAGGGCGGAGAGAAAUGCUUGCAGUUUUUAAUAUGAUAUAAUUGUAUAUAAUUGUAUUUAACCUUUUACUGCAUUGUGCUAACUCAGGGUCACAAAGAGUGUUUCUACUUUGAAACAAAAGUAUACACCACAGACAUGGUUAUGGGCUUAAAGAAAUUAAGACAGCCGUACCAUGUGAGGUAUAGAGAUGAAAUGUAUUCCAUUUUGAGUUUGCAUCCUAAUAUUACACUUUAUACAGUGGGGCAAAAAAGUAUUUAGUCAGCCACCAAUUGUGCAAGUUCUCCCACUCAAAAAGAUGAGGCCAGUAAUUUUCA